rnacentral:rRNA from 1 species
GCAAACAGGAUUAGAUACCCUGGUAGUCACGCUGUAAACGAUGUCGAUUUGGAGUUUGUUGCCUAGAGUGAUGGGCUCCGAAGCUAACGCGAUAAAUCGACCGCCUGGGGAGUACGGCCGCAAGGUUAAAACUCAAAUGAAUUGACGGGGGCCCGCACAAGCGGUGGAGCAUGUGGUUUAAUUCGAUGCAACGCGAAGAACCUUACCUGGUCUUGACAUCCAUAGAAUUCUGCAGAGAUGUGGGAGUGCCUUCGGGAACUAUGAGACAGGUGCUGCAUGGCUGUCGUCAGCUCGUGUUGUGAAAUGUUGGGUUAAGUCCCGCAACGAGCGCAACCCUUAUUCUUUGUUGCCAGCGAUUUGGUCGGGAACUCAAAGGAGACUGCCGUUGAUAAAGCGGAGGAAGGUGGGGACGACGUCAAGUCAUCAUGGCCCUUACGACCAGGGCUACACACGUGCUACAAUGGCGUAUACAAAGGGAAGCGAAGGUGCGAGCUGGAGCGGAUCUCAUAAAGUACGUCUAAGUUCGGAUUGGAGUCUGCAACUCGACUCCAUGAAGUCGGAAUCGCUAGUAAUCGUAGAUCAGAAUGCUACGGUGAAUACGUUCCCGGGCCUUGUACACACCGCCCGUCACACCGUGGGAGUGGGUUGCACCAGAAGUAGAUAGCUUAACCGCGAGGGGGGCGUUUACCACGGUGUGAUUCAUGACUGGGGUGAAGUCGUAACAAGGUAACCA